UACAGAGGGUGCAAGCGUUAAUCGGAAUUACUGGGCGUAAAGCGCGCGUAGGUGGUUUGUUAAGUUGGAUGUGAAAUCCCCGGGCUCAACCUGGGAACUGCAUUCAAAACUGACAAGCUAGAGUAUGGUAGAGGGUGGUGGAAUUUCCUGUGUAGCGGUGAAAUGCGUAGAUAUAGGAAGGAACACCAGUGCGAAGGCGACCACCUGGACUGAUACUGACACUGAGGUGCGAAAGCGUGGGGAGCAAACAGG
rnacentral:rRNA from 1 species